UCUGAGAGGAUGAUCAGUCACACUGGAACUGAGACACGGUCCAGACUCCUACGGGAGGCAGCAGUGGGGAAUAUUGGACAAUGGGCGAAAGCCUGAUCCAGCCAUGCCGCGUGUGUGAAGAAGGUCUUCGGAUUGUAAAGCACUUUAAGUUGGGAGGAAGGGCAUUAACCUAAUACGUUAGUGUUUUGACGUUACCGACAGAAUAAGCACCGGCUAACUCUGUGCCAGCAGCCGCGGUAAUACAGAGGGUGCAAGCGUUAAUCGGAAUUACUGGGCGUAAAGCGCGCGUAGGUGGUUUGUUAAGUUGGAUGUGAAAUCCCCGGGCUCAACCUGGGAACUGCAUUCAAAACUGACAAGCUAGAGUAUGGUAGAGGGUGGUGGAAUUUCCUGUGUAGCGGUGAAAUGCGUAGAUAUAGGAAGGAACACCAGUGGCGAAGGCGACCACCUGGA
rnacentral:rRNA from 1 species